AUUGAACGCUGGCGGCAUGCCUUACACAUGCAAGUCGAACGGCAGCACGGGAGCAAUCCUGGUGGCGAGUGGCGAACGGGUGAGUAAUAUAUCGGAACGUGCCCAGUCGUGGGGAUAACGUAGCGAAAGCUACGCUAAUACCGCAUACUAUCUAUGGAUGAAAGCGGGGGAUCGCAAGACCUCGCGCGAUUGGAGCGGCCGAUAUCAGAUUAGGUAGUUGGUGAGGUAAAGGCUCACCAAGCCGACGAUCUGUAGCUGGUCUGAGAGGACGACCAGCCACACUGGGACUGAGACACGGCCCAGACUCCUACGGGAGGCAGCAGU
rnacentral:rRNA from 1 species